UACGAAGGGGCUAGCGUUGCUCGGAAUCACUGGGCGUAAAGGGUGCGUAGGCGGGUCUUUAAGUCAGGGGUGAAAUCCUGGAGCUCAACUCCAGAACUGCCUUUGAUACUGAAGAUCUUGAGUCCGGGAGAGGUGAGUGGAACUGCGAGUGUAGAGGUGAAAUUCGUAGAUAUUCGCAAGAACACCAGUGGCGAAGGCGGCU
rnacentral:rRNA from 1 species